rnacentral:misc_RNA from 1 species
GUCGGGAACAAUGGCUUUCUCGAGGUGCUGUCAAGAACAAAAAAUGGAACGAAGAGGACAAUCGGCUUGAUUCAGUGGUCAUUAAAACGAGGGAAGAUGAUAACCUUUCCUCCAAAAAAAUAAAUAUGAGGGAAAUAGUAGAAGAGAACGAUAGAUCGGUUCACCACCAUAGCGAUUUUUCGGACUCGCCGUCUAAUAGUCCUCCUAGUAUUGGCAGUAGUAUCUUGGG